UACGGUCACAUUACAUUGAAAAACCGGUUUCCGUACGACCAUUGAAGUUAAGCAACGUCGAGCGUGGUCAGUACCUUGACGUGAGACCGCUUGAGAAUACAAGAUGUU